CAGGUUUUAUACAUUAUUGCCAAACAUCAAUAUUUCUACUUUAAUUCCAAUACCCGACACUACCCACAACAUGUCUGCGGAGCCUCUAAAUACAACUUAAGAAUAAUAUGGAAAUGUCGGCAACAAGGCUCCGGCUAUACCUCAAAUACAAAGUACAUGAUAAACAAAUGAAACAGGACCCCGAAACGAAGUGGGGCUCACCAAGUCAGCUAAAAGGAUGAUGCGGCGCUAGCUGCGACCAACCUUGCCUGCUAUAGAAACACCUACAUCCAUUUAAAGACGUAGCGCCCCCGAUAAAAGGGACGUUAGUGCCAUCGAAUAGCACUAGUAUGUAUAACUAAAUACCAUCUCGUUAGAAAGAACAACCAUACAAGGACAAAGAAAUCAUAAAGAUUCAACAAAAGCUUUAAACAAUCACUACAUCAUCAAAUAAAAGGAAUCACAUAGCUUUCACAUAAUUUGCAUAGCUUUAGUUUGGCACUUUUAAUAUUGUUCAUCAUCAUUCACAAUUCCACCACUUUCUUGAGCAGAAUCCGAUCACGGCCUGAUCAGCUAAGCUAUCUUACAAGACGUUACGCUUAUUUCAGUCUCACUUUCCAGUUUCAAUUAUCAUUGCAUUACCACCAUGUGUGUAUAACAUGGCGUCUGAUCACGGUCCGAUCAGCUAAGCCGUCUUACAAGACGUUACCCUUUUUCGUUACCCAUCUCACUUCAAUCUUUGGUUUCACAUGUAUUAGUUCACUGGCACUUGGGGCCACAAUUAUCACAUCAUACUUGGCACUAGGCCAUAUUUCAUAACUCUCAUUCCACAUCACUUUCACUUUCAACAUCAAACUUGCAAUUUAAGAUAAUGGGCACAUAUAAGAGCAAUUCAAGUUAUAAGUAUAGAGAGGAACUCUCAUGAUUCGGCAUAAUAAUCACAAUUUAACUUGACUUUAAAUCUAGGUAAUUUAUCAUAUAGUUCAUGUUCUUCACAUAUCCCCAAUUACCAAGAAUAGCACAUUGAACACAUUCAGACACACCUUUCACAUAUAUUCUUGCAACACCAAAUCUUUUGAAAUAACAAAUACUACAUAAUUCAAAUUCCAGAAAUACAACAUAUGCAGGGACACCAUGGGAGCUCAAUUUCUAAGAAGAGGGGGUUUUAUCAAUACAUACCUUGUUUGAAUUUUCCUUAAGUUACUACGACGUUCCGUAAAUUCUAGCAAUCCCAAUCUACUUUGAGACAUAACAAAAUUGAACACAAAUUAGGAAGGUAUUCGUGGUUUCAGCUCAUUUGAGCAUUUUAUCAAAUACUAGUUGAGCAUCUUGAUUUCAAAUCUCUUUUACAAGAUUUCCUUCAUUCCUCAACCCAAUCAUUACUUAUUAUGUUCAACAAUCUUCCCACAAACCUAAUUUGUACAUGCAUGUAUACAUAAUACUAUUACACCCAAGAAUCAUACCUUAAUAACCCAUCUCACAAUCUCUACAACACCAACACAACCUAGGUUAGGCACCUAUGGCUUCCAAUCACCAUCCCUUGAGUUCUGGUGUAUAUAUCAUACAUAAAUAAUCACCAUAGAGUAGUUGGAGAUGAUAGACAUACCUCUUGUAGUAAGAAUCUUGAGAAUCCCCACUUGUAGUAUUCUUGAUCAAUUUAGGGAUUUGAAUGGGAAUCAAUGGAUUUUCAAGAUCAAUCCUUGUUAAUAUAAGUGUUUAGGAGUAGUAAUCAACUUAAAAUACUCCAAAAACAUUAUCUUGGAUCAUAGGAGGGAAUUAUGGGAUGGAUUCCCCUUGAUAGAGCAAGCCCUAGCUCAAAAGAAUGACUUAGAGACUCUUCAUACCUGGUCUAGGGGUAUUUAUAGGGCUUCUAGGCGCGCGAUCGCGGUCAAACUGCACCCGGGACGCAGUGGCCGCGCUCGUACCUCGCUCAGGCCGUGCUUGGAGGCAGAAACUUUCAGUUUUCCCGCGGCCGCGCCGCGGACGCGCGUCUGACACAGGCCCGGUAAAAUAGUCAUAUCUUUCUGUAUACACCUCCAAAUGACAAACGGUUUGAUUAGUUGGAAACUAGACUCAAAGAGCUUUAAUUUGAUAGGUUUUUCAUUGCACAACACCUUAUAUAAAUGGAGAUAUGCUUAUCCAAAGUGAGGUUUAGUGCGUACUCAUUUACAACUUUAGUCUAUUAUGAAAUUUUCCAACUUGGCUUAGACUUAGGCCUCUCCUUAGACCCCAUAUCACUUAUAAUAUGACUUAUACGCUUAUUAACAUAUCCAAUUGAUAUCCAUUAUAUCAUGAAUCCUCAUUUGCACGCGAGAUAAAAUAAUUAGCCUACCUUGGCACCACGAAAUCUUAAAUUACUUAGCAAAAUUUUCAGGGGCUUUACAUUGAUUCUUUUUUUCUUUUUCUUUUGAUGGAGUUACUAAGAAAGACUGCUCCACGUUCGAAUUCGUAGGAUUAUGAAAUAUUUUAUUUGGUAUGACCGAACCAUAAGGCUGCCUACGUAUCUUGUGGUGACAAGAAUCAGGUCAAAUGUAGUUCAAAAAGAUACUUUUUGUUGUUGCUAUUUUUCUUUUCCUUUUUCUUUUUUUCUUUUUUUUCUUUUUCCCUCCUUUUUUUUCUUUUUCUCUUUUUUCAUUUUUUAUUUUUUCUUUAUCUCUAUUUUUCUUUUCUUUUUUGAAUUUUCCUUUUGGAAUGAACUUUCUAAGAUAAACCUAUGGGACAUGAAUUCUUUUUUAUUUUGUAUAACUCUAACUUGAUUCCAAAAGAGUGGAGGUCAAAUAAAUCAGUACAGGCUCAAAAGGGGUACCAAAGGGUAUAAAGUAUUUGGAUAGCUAAAAGAGGGCCUCCCAACCCCUGAAAAUGCCAAGUACGACACAUGCAACUUGAAAUGAAAACGGAAGAGCACCGAACAUUUUUUUACAGCUUCAACAUUGAUAUCACUGAUAUGCUUUCCACCCUUUUUUUACUGCCUUGUCAAGUACAGAACUCUCAUUGGGUGAUUUCUUCUUCACGAUGGAUACCCUCUGUCUGUUUGGAGCAAACUCCCUUGAAUUUGUCUUGUAAAUUGAGGUGCACUUGAACUCAAAAUUGCUCGCUUCAAAUUGUAUGGGAUGCACUCUCCUUUAAUGAAUUCUUGUCAUCCUAUUAACUUCCCAAAUUAUCUGCCCUAAUUUCACACAGUAUGGGCUUCAAAUGAUCUCAAAAUGUCGAAAUCUGUACUUAUUUCCCUCAAGUGUCCCUAUCAUUUUUAAAAUUGUUUCAUCGUUUCAUGACUAAACUAGUUUUUAAGACCAGGUUGCGAAUUACACGUGCAUGUCAUGUCACUAGAGUCAACAGGAAUAAAACUAUAAAGAAAAAGAGAACUAAACAAAAAUUACUAGAAAUAACAGAAAAUAGAAAAUUGCAUUAGACAGACAGUGAAACGGUUCGAACAACAAAUCAACCAAACUAAACUGGGGUUAUAAUCCUGGAACAAACCUACAUAACAUUAAACGAGUUACUACGACUAAUUGAGCUAGGAAAAAUAAAAGGAUAGAAGGGUUUGAGUCUUAAGACAAUAUCCAGAUUACAACCCUGAAAUAACCCAGACAACAGAAAUGAUAACAAAAUAAACCACCAGAAACUCCUCCCUGACUAGCCAAGAAAGGAGCAUCUUUCCAAUCACCAAGCUCAACAUCUUAGUCACUGAGUUCUUCAUCAACAGUACUAGGACCUUCACAUGUCUUCAUCGUAUUGUCCUUAGAAAAUUGCUUUUGGGUCCCUUUUGCCGGCUCGUUCUUAGGAUCAACUUCCGAAACCAAGAGUGAUAGCGCUGAAAGCUUUGCGGCCAGUGGCCUUUUGAGGAUCUCAAAAGAAUUCUAAUAUUCUUUUUCAAUACAAAUCAUACCCACCAUAUGCGUCUCAUUAUGAACAGGCGAUGGACUUUGGCUAGUGUCUACUGCAUUUGAAUUUUGCACGACAAUGUCACCUGCAUUAAUAAGCUUCUGAACUUCUCUUUUCAGAUGCCAACACUUUUGCGUGUUGUGACCCAGGGCAUUAGAGCAAUAUGCACACCUUUGAGAAUAAUCAAAAUUCUUUGGACGAGGGUUUGACAUUUUUAUCUGAACCGGUUUUAGCAUGUCCAGUUGCCUCAAUUUUUGGAAUAAACUGGCAUAUGAUUCUCCAAUAGGAGUGAAAGUCUUUUCUUUUUUCUAUUGCCUUUUGAUUUUGUACUCUUUCCUCAGUUGGAACCUUUUGCAGGUAGGUGGUUGAGAUGUUUGAGGAGGCGGGUAAGAUAUUUGCAAAAAUAGUGCAGGCCAUCGCGGGUCCUAUGGAUGUGGAGCAUAUAGUGGUGCUUUGUGGACGGAGUACAGGGAAGGUGAUGUACGACUUUGGGGGUUUUGUGGAGAGAAUUAGAAUUGGGGAGGAUUACAAGGAUAUCCAUGGGGUCGGUAUCGAGGUUGAAAGCGUUGAGCAGGAAUGCCCACCGGAUCUUGUCGUUGGCGCGGCUCAACAAAAUCUUUUCUAUUUCUCUUUCUUUUAGCCAAACUUACUGAGAUGUUCUGAAUGUCUUCUGUAGUAUCUUUCAAUGCCGAAUAACUCAUGAUUUUGCCUGACUUGAUUCCCUCUUCUACCACCUCCCCUAUUUUUACCACAUUAUUGAAAGGUUUACCCAAGGUCGGGAUCAAAUGACUGAAGUAGGUGGGCCCCUGGGAUUGUAGGAAAAGCUCAACCAUUUCUUCUUCACCAAUCGGGGGACUGACUCGAGCAGCAUGUUCCCUCCAUCUGAGCUCAAACUCCCUAAAGCUUUCCUCCGAUUUCUUUUCCAUCUUAGAUAGGGAGGAGGGGUCUGGGGUAAUUUCUAUAUUGUAUUGAAAGUGUCAAACAAAAUCUUGAGACAUGUCAUGCCAUGUAUGUCACUUACUGACAUCUUGACGUGUAUGUCAUUCUAAGGCUGCCCCAGUCAAGCUCUCACUGAAAUAUGUCAUCAACAAAUCAUCUUUCCUGUUAGCACUUCUCAUUUCACUGCAAUAACCCCUCAGAUAGGCCACUGGAUCUCCACGCCCAUCAUACAAGUUAUACUUUGGCAUUUUAAACCCCGCGGGCAGAUGAACAUCAGGGAACAUACACAAGUCAUUGUAAAACAUGUUAAUGUGAUUUCCCAUCCCUUACAUGCUCCUUAAGGACUCUUCUAUACCUUUCAGCUUCCUGGAUAUCUCAUCUCGCCCUUCUUUUCCUGUGAAUUUUUCAUUUUCAACAUAAGGCUCAUUCCGAGCGUUCUGAUUGUAUAAGUCAGGAACCUUGUGGGCAACCUCUGAGGGGUAAUAUUGGAAAUCAUAAGCUUUGAGUGGGUGUUCAUUGUUGGAUAUAUGAAGGGAAGAUUGUUGAGAAGUUGUGAUUAUGGGGAUAGUGGAUAUGACAGGAGGGCAAUUUUGGGAAAAGGUAAUUGCAGGACGAGUGAUGGAGCUACUAGGUUGGUUGGGAAAGCUGUGAUAAGCGGGUGGAUCUGGAGGGUAUGGGGGAUCAUCUGGCACCAUGACCGGAGUUUGGGUAAGGGUAGCAUCUAAGAAGCUAGGUGGUGGCGGGGGUGGUGCCUUCCCAGUCAUCCAAGCCUAAUACAUGUUUGUCAUGUGUUUUCUUAACAUCCUUACCUCUUCAACCAACCCGUUGCCCUGUUCAACCAAUUGCUUUUGGGCACCAGUAUCAACCGACCCAAUUCCGUUGCCGUCUGCCAUUGCCUUUCGACCUUAUGUUGUAGAGAAGAGUUACCACUUUAAGAACUACAAACCAACCACCCUUCUGCUAUAAUGAAGAUAACAAAAGGAAUAAAAUGAAGUCAUCACGUUAGUGUUAGAGCAUUUAACAUAAGAUAAUCUCACAUUAUGUGCAAUGCACUUAGUCACAAUUAAUGGUUCAAGAAUGACUUCGAGGGUCACAAGGCCACUUGACAUCAUCCCAAUUUGUCCAUUUGAAUGUUCUCUUUUCUUUUCUUUUCUAGCACUUCUUGGCUUACUCAUUUUCCUUCCCUUUUUUUUUUCUAAUUAUCACUUUUUUCUUUCCGCUCAUUUCUCACAUCCCAUAAUUUCAUCUUUUCUUUUAUCUUUUUUUUUCUUCUUUUGUUUUAAACUAAAAAAAUGAUUCGAUCAAACCCUAUGUAGGUUGCCUAUGUAUCAUGACGCCGCAUGAAUCAGAUCUUAUCGUAGUUCGGGAAAAUCGGGAAUAAAGUAAACAAACUAACGUUCUCAGUUUCUAUUUCUUUUUUUUUCUUUUUACCUUAAUGACUACUCUAAUGGGAAAAGAAAAAUAAAAGAAGCAAAUUCUUUUUUUUAAUUUUCUAGACUUAAUAUUUUAUAACCUAUUAUAAAUUCAAGCUUAAUGAGCAUAUUUGUUUUCUCUCCUUUUUUUAUUUUUGAAACAAAUACUAUAUGGGAAAUUAUUAAGGAAAAACCCCAAGAAGAGAAAAAUAUUUUUUGAUUGUUUUUUUAGGAAGGAAAUCUAAAGAAUAAACCAAAGAAAAUAUUUUGAAUUUUCAUUUGAUAUCCCUGAAGAAGUAUUUCGAAAUGAUAAAUGAACAAGAUAAAAAAAUAUUUUUGGAUUUCAGUUUUUGAUUACCUAAGGAAGAAACUUUAAAUAUAAAUAAAAGAUAAAGUAUGUUUUUUUUCUUUUAUGUACAAUAUCCUAAAGUUCUAAUGAAAAUAAAAAGAAUUUUUUUUUAUUUUUCAUUAAUUUCCCAAAGAAGAACCUCAAAAGAAAAUUGUUUUUGGAUUUUUGGAAUUAAUACCUUAAAGAAAACUUUUUAAAGAGGUGCUAAAAGAAAAUUCUUUUUUUUUUUUUUUUGGAAUUUUUUAGUCUUAAUGUACUAAAGCAGAUUAUUAAAGCAAUUUUUAUUUUGAGUUCUAGAUAUUAAUUUCCUAAGAAAAACCACAAAAGAAUUUUUUGAACAUCAUAGAGUUAGUAUUCUAAAGAAAACAUCUAACAGAAAUAUAAAACGCAAAUUUUUUUUUUUUUUAUGGAUUUUUGAGUUUUAAAACAUUUUUUCAAAUACAAAAUAGAAAGUACAAUAACAAAAGACUCGACAUUACUGUACAAAACUAGAAAAAAAAGAUGACAUAAAAUGAAAAACGGACUCAAAACAUAACAAAAUAAAAAAAAUAUCUUUAAGCUAUUCCUGAAUGAGCGAUCCUAACUAGAUGGUCCCGGGGUGUCUGUCGUGCUCAAACUCCGAUAAAUAGACCCACACCUGUAUUAGAAAAUUAAGAUCAAAUAAAGUUAAGGACCUAAACUCUUUUUGGAUUUUCUUUUACCUCUUUUUUUUCGAAAAAUGAUGAAAAAGUGCAAAAUCCUUUUUUUUAUUGAAUUUUUCAUGUUUUUUUUUUUGUCUUUUUCUUAACAAAACGUGACAGAAAAAAUAAUUGUGCCCUACUUGCUUUAUUUUCACAAUUCACCCUCUUUUCUUCCUCAUUUACCCUCAGUCAUCAUUGGUCCACCAAAUGACCCUUUUACCCUGGAAGAAAUGUAGUAUGUAGCACAUAGGAUGCAUCAGGAUGGUCUUUUAUUUUUGGGUACACCUGUCAUAGACGGACCAACCCUUGUAUUGAGUCCUCAAAGUCAAAUGCACGUGAUUCAAACAAAUGUUCCUACUAGGGAUCCGGCAUGAGGCUGUGUUUUUCUAGGUUUUAAAACCUGGAGUUGUGUUCUUGACCUGGCUUACCCGAGCGGACAACUCGAGCCAAAGAGGGGGCAACGUACCGGGAGCACUGAAGUUUAUCCAGCCUUGUUGCUGGCCUAGCCUUGUUCUAUUUGGUAUAACUCCUACAGAAAAAGCGGGUCGCCCGAACAUGUGCACCAUUUUUAGAAGACUUAGAGAGGUGGCAUAAGAAGACAGUUAUGUACAAUUCAAAUAAUAUCAAAGUGGUAAACAGACAACAGUUAGCACAAAACGUUCACAAAAUACAGUAAUAUCAACAAUAAAUAAAGCUAAGUAAAAAUAAUAUUAACAAGCUCGAAUUCUUGAACCUGAAUUAGAGAUUCUGGGUAGUUGUCUCCUACAGAGUCGCCAGAGUUGUCACACCUCCUCUUUAUCACCCCGAGAGGAGGUACUAGGGAGUUUUUUCCAAUUUAAGUGACAAUCGAAACGGGAUCAUUUAUAUUAAAUUCAGAGUCGCCACUUGGGAUAAUUUAUGGUAUCCCAAGUCACAGGUUUAAAAUUCCGAAUUAAGGAAGUUGACUCUAUUUACGGUCCACGAACACAGAAAUUCGGGUAAGGAAUUUUGUUAACCUAAGAGAAGGUGUUAGGCAUUCCCGAGUUCCGUGGUUCUAGCACGGUCGCUUUGAUCAUACUUGGCUUAUUAAAAUUGUUUAACUACUGAUUUUAGAACCUAUGUGCAUUUGCCUCUUUUAAUUAAGAAAUUAUCUUUAAACAAGUCACGCGUACGUUUACCCAUUUGUUUGGCGCGUCAAAAAUCAUGUCAUGUGAACGUGUCCACAAGUAAUAACGCUUUAUUAUUUUUAUGAAAGUUUGGCCAAAGUUGCGCGAACGCAUGCUCCGGUUUUGUUUUUAGAAUCAAAAUUACGUCACGCGAACGUGUACGCAACUACGAUGGUAUUUUAGAUGUGCCUAAAGCAAACUACGAACAUUUGUCAUUUUUAUAUCUAGGUUAUGAAAUUAAUACGAGGGUCAUGUAUGAUUAAAUCAUGGAUGGCAUACUUCGGACUAUAUAAACUAAAUUUAAAUUAGCGACCUAUUAAAACAAUUUUAUUAUUAAGAAAGUUUGAUCGAUGUUGCGCGAACGCAUACUCCGAAUUAGUUUGUAGAAUCUUAAUUAUGUCACGCGAACGUGUACACAAUCACAAAAGAACUUAUUAAUCAUUAUUAAGAUUGUUGCGCCUAAUUUAGUCAUUAGAAACAUUUCAAUUCAAUCAUCCACACAAACAUAUAAAAUAGAUAACCAAGCAAAGAAGAACAAAGAUAAUCCAAAGUAAGUGAAAUACGAAAGUUACGAACAAUAAAAUAAGAGAACAUAUGACCAGAACUAACAUGUAUUUUGAAGGAGAAGGAUAUUCUUCUUUUUUUUUUUUUUAAACUAAUCACUACGAAAGAACCUUUAAAAUACGAUUAAGGAAGAGCAAUGUAAUGCUGGGUAUUCCAUUUUGAGAGCUUUAAACUAUUUGAUAAGAGCAAAUUCACAAUUGAGAAAUAAAACCAAGUUUAACUCCAUGAACGAAACAGACUCCAUGGCACUUAAUUUGAACUCAAGAUUUCACUGAUUGUCCAUCAACUUUCAAGCAAAGCACAAUUUACUCAUCACUCUUAAUGAGGCCAAAUAAACUUUUUGAAUACAUUCUUCACAUGGAAUUAGACUAGACAAGUAUAGGAAGGAAUAAAAUCUUACCCAAACACAUGCUCCUAAAUAGUCGAGCAACUGGUUCUCAUCACAACAAUACUACGACAAGAAGGGAUCCAAACAAUUUGAACAGUAAUUCAUUCGGGAACGAACAAUCAGCAACGAAUUUUAGCACACCCCAACUACGAAUUUAAAAUUGAUUGAUUGAAUUUUAAGAAAAGACAGGAGUAAAAUCUGACCUCAGAUCUGAAAUCCAAUACGAAAAUUGAAACAAUUUCGAGCAAAGAAUCGCAACCAAGACUCAACGAAGGACCUCGACUCUCCAACGAUGACUGAAGUUGACAACUACUGCUGCUGGAAUCUCAUAUUAGAUCCCAAAAUCGGCACAAAUCGAAGAUGGCGCCAGCAACCUCGAUGAAUCUCGACCAACAAUUGAUGAGAUAUCACCGAAAAUAAAAUCCCACGAACAAAAGAUUGACUGAAGGGCUGAAAUUCGUGAAGCUGUUAUUUGGUGGUUAUUUCAGAUGCGUUCAUGGUGUUCAACAACAGCUGAUUGCUGGCUGGAAUUGGAGGAGGUCAUCACCGGCAAGAUGAAGAAGAAGAAAGUGGUCAGCGGCGGCGAUGGUUGGUGUCUGGUCGCUGCUGCCCUUCGUUGAAGAAGAUGGGUUUCCUUGGUUUAUUGUUGAGGAAGAAGCAUAACGGAUCCUUAAGGGUCUUAGGUUUAGGUUACUUUUUCCAUGAAGGAGAUGAAACCCAAGGUUUUUGGACUCUCAAGCAGAUGAACGAAAAUCUGAUGGGAUCGUCCUUUUUCUCAAAAAUGGCGGAUUGGAUUUUUAGGCAUCUAGGUCUUGUGCUAGCUCUAGGUUUUGGAUUUUAGGUAUUUUAGGCUCAUCUGCUGGUUAUAUAGAAAGAGUUUUUAGGUUAAGGAGUUAUGGAUUUGGUAUUAUUGGGCC
rnacentral:lncRNA from 1 species